UACGAAGGGGGCUAGCGUUGUUCGGAAUUACUGGGCGUAAAGCGCGCGCAGGCGGCUAUCCAAGUCAGUGGUGAAAGCCCGGAGCCCAACUCCGGAACUGCCAUUGAAACUGUUUAGCUUGAGGAUGAGAGAGGUGAGUGGAAUUCCCAGUGUAGAGGUGAAAUUCGUAGAUAUUGGGAAGAACACCGGUGGCGAAGGCGGCUCACUGGCUCAUUACUGACGCUCAGGCGCGAUAGCGUGGGGAUCAAACAGG
rnacentral:rRNA from 1 species